GUACACUCCUACGGGAGGCAGCAGUGGGGAAUUUUGGACAAUGGGCGAAAGCCUGAUCCAGCAAUGCCGCGUGAGUGAAGAAGGCCUUCGGGUUGUAAAGCUCUUUUGUCAGGGAAGAAACGGUGAAAGCUAAUAUCUUUUGCUAAUGACGGUACCUGAAGAAUAAGCACCGGCUAACUACGUGCCAGCAGCCGCGGUAAUACGUAGGGUGCAAGCGUUAAUCGGAAUUACUGGGCGUAAAGCGUGCGCAGGCGGUUUUGUAAGUCUGAUGUGAAAUCCCCGGGCUCAACCUGGGAAUUGCAUUGGAGACUGCAAGGCUAGAAUCUGGCAGAGGGGGGUAGAAUUCCACGUGUAGCAGUGAAAUGCGUAGAUAUGUGGAGGAACACCGAUGGCGAAGGCAGCCCCCUGGGUCAAGAUUGACGCUCAUGCACGAAAGCGUGGGGAGCAAACAGGAUUAGAAACCCGGGUAGUCCCAUGA
rnacentral:rRNA from 1 species